GAAGAGCGUCGCUCUUUCCUAUCUUCACUGAUCAAUGGCUUCGAAAUCUUGCCAAAUUCCCCGGCAGUACGGCUACGACUUGCUGUUGGGAUCUAUAGCUGCGUUUUAUGUCUUCGCGGUACCAUACACCAAGGUUGAAGAAAGCUUCAACAUUCAGGCAAUGCAUGAUAUUCUUUACCAUCAGCUUCACUUGGACAAUUACGAUCAUUUCGAGUUCCCUGGAGUUGUUCCUCGAACAUUCAUUGGAUCUUUUCUUGUGUCAAUUUUAGCUUCCCCAGCUGUAUUAGCCAUUAAAUUAUUCCAGUUGCCAAAGAUAUAUGGACUUAUUGCGGUUCGUCUGGCAUUGGGUGGCAUCAUUUUGUCUACAUUGCGGUUUUUCCGUAAUCAGAUCAGAGAUAAAUUUGGCCAUCAAGUAGAAGCUUUCUUUGUCAUAUUGACAGCAGUUCAGUUUCACUUGCUGUUUUAUUGCACGCGUGCCCUUCCCAAUGUACUAGCUCUGGGUGUAGGUGAUUACUUCUUUCAACAUGACUUUAUGUUCAUUUUGUUGUAACUUUUUCAAGUGAAUUUAGUAUGAGUUUAUCUUUGGCCUUUUUCAAUGGAAGGUUGGUUUGCAUAUGCUCUGUACUAAACCACCAUCAACAUUAGUAUGGUAACAGAAGUCAGUAUUAUCUAGGGAACACUUUAGUUUAUUAUUACUGUUUUUUCUUCAAGAUAGUUACUGGCGUAUGUUGCAAUAGCUGCAACUAACUUCUUUUCCUCUCAACUCAAUGCAGUUAACUUGGCAUAUGGAUAUUGGUUCAGAGGGAAUUUUUAUGCAGCAUUAAAUUGUCUGGUACUCCUGAAAUGUCGAGCUAUGCAUGAAGUUUGUAAUGUUAUAUCAAAUUCAUGCAAGUUUCCAUGUUCUGAUUUCAUUUAUACUAUAAACUUCCUUGGCAACUAUGAUUCUUGUGGACAAAUGCAUGCAAUAAUUCUGAACCUCUUUUCCAUAAAAUGAAUUUUUGUUACUUCUUGAUAAAGGUGCUCUUAUUUGUGUCAAGCUCUGUGCAUAUGGCUCACCUCCUUUCUAAUGUUUACGCUCACAUUUAUCUGCUAGUGGUACUAUUAUUUCUUGUUUAAGUGAAUCAACAACAAAUUGCAUAUCCAGGUUUCUUGUAUUUGCAUCAUCUAAUCUUUACACUGCUUUUAUGUUUUUGAUGGCCAGAUUUUCACUACACUUGUUUUUAGAUGUGAUAUGCUGUUGCUUCUGUGCCCUAUUGCUCUAGAGCUUUUGUUGGUAUGUUCCUGUUUGCUAUCAUUCAUUUUCUACACCUCAUUUAAGCCGAAAAUCAUCUUAGCAUUGGUCAUGUUACACUAUAUGAAUGUAUUGUCUUCAUCUUGUUGAUGUUUUGCAUCAUAAUUUAGUUAAUACACUUAAUCCUUUAACCUUAUCUGUUAUUGGGAGGCAAGCUUGGUUAUCUGGAAUCCUUUUUGCAUAAUCAUUGGAUGCUGAUAAUUAUAUAAGUGUGCGAGGCGUUAGCAAGGCAAAUAAAAAGGUAAAACAUGCUAACCAGGCAACAGUUAAGUUAGAUGUUUAAGAAACUAUCAAUGUGAUAAUGGUAAGAAGCCUGAAUUGCUGAAUCUUUUAUACAAGAAAAUCACUUGAAUUUGAAACUUUAGAACAGAUGGGCUACCAGUAUACCUCUUUGCUUUAAGGUGACUGGAGAAAGCUGUGAAAAUAUCCACCCUCCCGGCCUCACCUAACUUUUCAAUCCUAGAAAAGCACAUCUUCUGGAAACUCCUUUGAAAUUGAUAUUGGGCGUCCAGGAAAAAAAGGCUGAUAUUGAUGAAAUGGAUUAAUGUUAAGUAAGCCACAUGUAGCCAACUAUGUGUACCACUCUAUUCCUGGAGCAAUAUAAGAGAAUUACAAAGAACUACAGGAAUCCUCUAUUAGUAGUUUGACUUGUGAGUGUCGGUGCUCAAUACAAUAGGUGUAAUAGUUGACCAAUAUGUUAUUACCGCUAUUUGUUGUGACUUUAAAAUAUUCUGAUGUUAUUAAGAAUUUCAGUUUAUUGAUGUCAGACGAAAUCCAUUUCAUUGUGGGAAGCAAUUAAAUACUGCACUGGAAUUGCACUGCUGUCCAUAGGUCUCACGAUAUUGGUUGAUUCAAUAAUGUGGAAGAAGUUAAUGUGGCCUGAAUUUGAAGUUUUGUGGUUCAACUCUGUUCUGAAUCGGAGUUCUGAAUGGGGUGUAUCCUCUGUGACAAAAACUUUUAUGUGGUGUUUUUUUUGCUGUUUCAUUUAAGAUUCAUGAACAUUUUGUACUUAAGUUAGUUAUCCAUCUGUGCCAACUUUUCUCCAAUGUAGGUAUAGUGCAUCUAAAAUUGUUAUCAAUGUGCAUGCUCGCUCCUCUAUCUAUGCAUAGCUCUGCAUCUGUUGGCGCAUUGAGGCAGUUAAAUUUCAUGAUCAAUAUGCAUGCUUCUCUAUUUAUUCAUAGCUCAGUAGUUGCAUAUUGUUUGGCACACUGAUCCAGCUUGUUUGUUUGAUAUUAUGGCUGUAUAAUUAAGGUGGAUAUAUAGUGCUGUUCAAAAGUAAAGUUGCUAAAGUUUGAUCUUUUGUUAAAUGACUUGAUGACAAAGCAGUUUAGCUUUGGUACCCAUUGGCUGUCUAAUCCAAAUGUUCUCUUGGUCUCUUGAUUUGGUCCACUUUUAUGCUAGAGGUUCUUUAACUGAUGCUGUCUUAUUGUCAUCAUGGUUGGUGUUUGCAAUGGAAGACUGUUUUUUUGAUGGUAUGUAACAUAUAGUUUAUAAACUAGGUCUAUGGUCAUUCAUAGGGUUACUUGAGUAAAUAGUUUUAUGGUCAUAUUGAGUGUUGUACUGUUUAUAUACCUGUUGAUUGUAUUUUUAUGUUUUAUGAAAUGUAUUUUCUUUUAUAGAUUUGUCCCAUGAUUUUCUGAUUAAUUUUCUGUAUUCCAUUUAGAUACUAAUAUGAAAUUUAUGUAUCUGUUUUCCUUUACAAUCUUUUUUUUCUUAAAUAUCUUUAGACACAUUCUUUUCAUUGGUACUUCACUUCUGCACUCCCACGCUUAUUGCUUGCUGCAUAUCCUCUGUUUAUGGUGAGCCUUGAAAUGGUUGUAAUAUGGUCAAAUGCUAUCGUACUAACCAACUUAAUAAUUUUUUUGUUAUUAUUGCUCUGCACCAUUAGUUUCUGCAUAAAAUUCAAGUCUGACUUCAUUGCAUCUGCAUGUUUGCUUGCACUGUAUGAUGAUUUGCAAUUCACUGAAACAUAACAUCUCUUACUGCAUUGUGGUUUGGUGAGGAAGUUGCUUGUGACUUCUUUUAUUGCCCUUAAGAUAGUGAUGUAAUAUUCAUACUUGGGCAGGCUAAUGCCUUAACUAAUGGAAUUCAAAAUUUUAUUUUACUUUCCAACCAUUAUUUAUUUAUUUUUCUAGAUCAAUAAAAAGCAAGAAGGUUAUUUCUAGGACUAUUCAUGGUCUUCAUCUGUUAGUAUUUUUGUUAUUUUUCCUCUUGCAAUCAUAAAUCUUUCUUUUUGCAGCUUGGAGUCUUACUCGACAGGAGGGUUUUAUUCUUUGUUCUUCCAGUUUUCUCCUUCAUUUCGCUUUACUCUAAGCUUCCACACAAGGAACUCAGAUUUAUUAUCAGUUCAGUUCCAAUGUUCAACUUAUCUGCUGCUGUUGCAGCAAGCAGAAUGUAUGUUGCUUCUCUUUUUCUUUUUUUAUCUUUUGUUUUUUAUUUUUUAUUUUUUAUAAAUUAAUCUAUCAGCCACUGCAUACACUUCUUUUGAUCAACCAGCCUUUUCUUUGAAAAUAAUACUAUCCCAUCAGAAAGUUUUAAAAGAUCAUCGAGGAAUCUUGCUAAAUUUCUUUGAAGGAUUUGCUAAAUGUCAUCAAGUCUGACAGUAUUAUUGACUUUAAGCACAUGACCUCUGGCUCUUUUGGAGAAUGGCUUCACAAGUUUCUUGUAGUGGCUACAUUAAACAAUAAGUGGAACUUCUUUUAUUACUUUAUGCAUUAAAAAAAAUCAUGACAACUUUUUUGUGUGUUCUCAAUAAUCAGUUACUGAUUUUAUGAUUUCUUGUACCAACUUGUUGCAGCUAUAACAAUAGGAAAAAGACUUUAUGGAAAUUGCUCAAUUUCAUAAUGCUGGGAUUAAUUUUGAUCAGGUUGGAUAAUUAGUCAUCUCUCUGACAGGAACAAUUGUGUUUUGCUUCCUCAUAUAACUUAUUGAUAUUCUGUAGUCUAGGAUGCACCAUAAUAAUGUUCUUGGCGUCUUAUGGAAAUUAUCCCAGCGGUCAUGCAUUAAAAGGUUUACAUCAGAUGGGCCGUCUUGCUAAUACUAAUAAAUGGUGGGUUCACAUUGAUGCCUUUUCAGCCAUGAAUGGAAUAUCUCGGUUUUGUGAAAAUGAUUAUCCAUGGAGAUAUUCCAAAGAAGAAGGGAUUACUCUGGAUGAAUUUCGUCACAGAAAUUUUACAUACCUUAUCAGGUUUGUUUCCAUCAUCUUGCUCUGUUCAUGGCAGGCAACCUACAAUUUUACUCAAAUGGAUGCCAUUUUUGAGAAUUGAUAUAUGAUGAUACAAAAAAUAUCGUCUAGGACUCAAAGGGGCUAAUGCCUCAUGCAUGAAGCCCAAAGGCCAAAGCAGAUAAUACCUCAAGGUGUGGAUAUGACCUGGUUUAAUUUUGAUUGAUUCGUCAUCGUUUAGCAAUAGGAGGGCCAAGGCACCAAGCCCUCUGCAGCUGUACUUAACCGGAUCUUCGAAUGGGCUAUGACUCAUCUCCCAAUCUCCCUUGACUAGCAGGGGAUAAUGAUGUAUGAUGAUACAAAAUUCCACAUCAACUAGGAGUUGAGGGGGCUAGAGUCUUAUAAGGCCAAGCACACCCCCUUCCCUUGAGGGCCCUUUUGAAGGUCAAAACCAUGAGGCCUGAAGGCCAAAGUGGACAAUACCUUGAGGUGUGGAUAUAACCCAGUUCAAUUUGGAUUUACUCAUCAUCAAGAAGGAUGCCCUGCAACUGGCAAUGGGCUCCUAUCUCUCUCUCCCUCCCCCCAUCCUCUUUCCUGUAGAUAAUCAUUUGCUAGGAAAGAUUGGAACCUCAGAUUUACCCCAAUCUUGGCUCCAUUGUUUGAAGAAAGACAUUUCUUUGUCAUAAAUUGUGUGCUGAUGAUCGUAUUCCUUAUCCUUUCUUUCCUGUGUGACUUAACAGUGAGCACUCUUCUGUUGAUGGAUUCAAGUGUUUAUUUUCUGUAUAUGGCUUCUCAAGGGCUCGCCUUCAACUUGGUUUUCCACCCAUCAUCCUGGUAGAAACCAAUAACAUUCUCCAUGCUUAGUUGUAUUACCUUAAUGCAAUUGAAGAUAUUCAUACUUUCUUCAGGUUAAAGAGCCCAAGGUAUAUAUUCAUGGAUAUACAAGAAUCAAGGAUAUUAUGCAAAUAAAUUGGCCAGGAUGCUCUUGAAUAAUUUGAUAAGAGGUAAUGAGGAAGAGAACCUUUCAAAUGAAUGAGACCCAUGCUUAGUGAAGCUGCAAAGUUAGCAAGAACACUAACAGAUCCCUUCCCUCGUUAAGUUAAUGCAGUACUUGUUUGUGAGUGAGGUGCUUCAUCCAACUGCUGCAUUGCUUGGAAUAGUAUAAUAUGUGGAUUUUUUUUAUUGUUGUAACAUGAUUUUGGCAGUAAACAUUUUCCUUUUUGGUGACUGUUUAAAAAUGUAUUUUAUUAUUAUUGGAAUGGAUUUAUUAGCUUU
rnacentral:misc_RNA from 1 species